UGUCACGACCCGAAUCCCGGAUUCAUGACCGGCACAUAGGCAAGGUUCCCCUCCAAGGUUCCAUACCUAUGCGAACCCAAACUUACACACAAACUUAUCCUAACUCAAUCAGAGUUCAACGCAACAUUAAUAACAAAAUCAACUUCAUAAUAAUUGAAUUGUCUUAAUACAAAAGUUUAUAUAAGUUCAGAGUUUUGGAGCACUAACUAAACAUAAAGGAAAGAUACAAAGUACAACCAAAGAGCAGAUUCUGAAGGUCCAACAAAAUGACCUGCUAUCAAGCUAUAAGCCUGAAAAGGAUAAAUAAUGAGAUGGUGAGUUCAACAACUCAGUGAGUAGAUAACGUUCAAUAUACACACACGAGGUAAUACAGCAAUGAGAAAUAUAUAUACAAGUAUGGCUCUAGGUUCUUAUAGAAAGGUUUCUCAAAUAGGCCAUAACAAGAAGAUCAAAUGGUAAAGUUCGUCAGAAAAUCAAAAUGCAAUGAGCAUGAGGCUCCGUACUGUGGGAUGAUCAGUCCACACAGGUUGGUGACUCCCCCGACCAACUAGGGUUCAGAUACGAUGUGCACAAAGACUAACACUACCCUGUUAGCAUGGGUAUUCUGACUGACAUACCAUAGGUUCAUAAUCAUAAUCAAACAAACAUAUUCAUAUCUCAAGGCUCAACUCAUGACAUCAAUCAAAUGAGGAGCUAUCAAUUCAGAAUUCAAUUCAAAAUAUAUACUGGUUCAUAUCAAGAAUUCGGAUUCAACAAUUGAUCAUGCUUUAUCAAAACAAGGAUAAUAAUCAACAUAUAUAUUAUCAAGAAGCAUGAUUCAAUUCAUAUUAACAAAUCAAAUAUUUAUACUAUUUCUCAUGAAUAUGGAAAAUUAUCCACUCACCUGACUCAAAAGCAAACAGAAGCCAAAAGCAGACACCGAAGAAAAUCCUACUGACGUCCUGUCGGUAGAAUAUCAGGAUUAUCUGAAUACAAAGGAGACAUAUUCAAGAACGACUCAAAAGAACAUUUAACCUAUUUAAUAAACUUAACUAAUGAUGUAUUCCAUAACCCUAUAUGUUUUUGAACUAACUAGUCAAUUUUCUCAAAAACCCAAAAUUUAACGGUUUUCCCGAAAUCUAAUCCAUAAAUAAACAACUAAUAAAAUUGGCAAUAAUUCACUAAAUAACCCUUAAUUAUUCAUCAAACUAAUCUGAAAAGGCUAAUAUUACAGCUAGGGACCAAUCUGUAAUUUAUCAUAUUUUUAGGGCCAAAUUGUAAUUUUUGUCUAAUUGGAGGACCAAACUGAAAUUUAUCAUAAAUCCAUGAAUAUACUGAAAUUCUGACCAUAAUUAGUCCUCAUUUCUGUCCAGAUCAUCUCAUUAUACUCCAAGGACCAUUCUGGAAUUUUACCAAAUUUUUUAGGGUCAAAUUGUAAUUUUGUCAAAUUGGAGGACUAAAUUGAAAGUGUUAAAUUCUCUUAUCUAUACAGUAAUUCUGUCCAUAAUUCGUAUGUUAUUCUGUUCAGAAUCUCGGAAUAGGGUCCAGGGACCAAUCUGCAAAUUUUCCAAAGUUUGGGGACUAAACUGUAAUUUUCCAAAAUUGAGGGACCAAACCGAAAUUUUGUCAUCUUCAACCUCCAACCCAGAAUUCCAACAGAAAACCCACUGUUCUUUCCUUAUUUCUAACACAAAUUCACCAUUCAAACAAAAUCAUAACUCAAAACACAAAUUUCAUAACCCUAACAUUUAUCAAAAUCGAAAUUAAAGCUUAAUAAUACAAAUUUAUACAUUUAACAACCUAAAUCUUACCUUUAAACUUAUUCCCUUCAAUUCUUUUCUAUUUUCCCUAUUUUCCCCUCUUUUCUCUUCUUCUUCUUUCUCCCUUCUCUCCUGCCGAUUCUCUCUCAAAUAUUC
rnacentral:lncRNA from 1 species